rnacentral:rRNA from 1 species
AUUGAACGCUAGCGGGAUGCUUUACACAUGCAAGUCGAACGAGUGGCGGACGGGUGAGUAAUAUAUCGGACUGUGCCCAGUAGCGGGGGAUAACUACUCGAAAGAGUGGCUAAUACCGCCUACUAUUGGAGCGGCCGAUAUCGGAUUAGCUAGUUGGUGGGGAAAAGGAUCACGAAGGCAACUAUCCGUAGCGUGUUUGAGAGGACGACCAGCCACACUGGGACUGAGACACGGCCCAGACUCCUACGGGAGGCAGCAGUGGUGAAUUUUGGACAAUGGGGGAAACCCUGAUCCAGCCAUCCCGGGUGUAUGAGAAGGCCUUCGGGUUGUAAAGUACUUUUGGCAGAGAAGCGGUAUCUGCAGAAUAAGCACCGGCUAACUACGUGCCAGCAGCCGAGGUAAUA